rnacentral:rRNA from 1 species
AUUGAACGCUGGCGGCAGGCCUAACACAUGCAAGUCGAGCGGAGCGGCGGACGGGUGAGUAAUGCCUAGGAAUCUGCCUGGUCGUGGGGGAUAACGUCCGGAAACGGGCGCUAAUACCGCAUACUAUCAGAUGAGCCUAGGUCGGAUUAGCUCGGUGGUGGGGUAAAGGCCUACCAAUGCGACGAUCCGUAACUGGUCUGCGAGGAGGCUCAGUGACACGGGAACUAGGAAACGGUCCAGACUACGACGGGAGGCAGCAGUGGGGAAUAUGGCACAAUGGGUGCAAGCCUGAUGCAGCCAUGCCGGGUGUAUGAAGAAGGCCUUCGGGUUGUAAAGUACUUGCAGCGGGGAGGCGUUACCCGCAGAAGAAGCACCGGCUAACUCCGUGCCAACAGCCGCGGUAAUUC